AUUCAUGGGGAAUUUCGAUGAUACAACGUCAAAAAGGUUAUCACGCGUAAUUCUCGGAAAGUACAAAUAAUGAACAAUUUUAAUUUUUUGAGAAUUUAACGAGAGAAUUUAAUCAAAAAGUCUCCGAGAUGUUCAUUACUCGAUUAUCAGAUCUCAUUUUCUUCUCAUGUUUCGGCAAACAUUAGCUCAAAUAACACAAAAAAAUGACAAAAAUUCAGUGUAAACCAAUCAGGCAUGCAGGUAAAUGCAAACAAUAAUAUCGUUAACAACGAGAAAUCAUCACCUUAAUAUCCGAUAAGUACCAUUGAUGGAAGUGUUAUUGUUUACAAUGAUUAUCUCGAUUAAGGACAAAAGUGAAGGAAAUUGAAUAAAGAUGACAUAAAAGGAGAGAUUUGAACAAAAGAUCUCGGAUUAUAUUGCUGCAUGUUUUUUUUUCAUGGGAAGAAAUGGAAUGGAAAUGAUGCGUUUUCUUGUAUUGUUGAGAGUCAUUGAUGGAAAGUUACAAAGGUAU